rnacentral:rRNA from 1 species
GACGAACGCUGGCGGCGUGCCUAAUACAUGCAAGUAGGACGCAGUUGCGAACGGGUGAGUAACGCGUAGGUAACUGCCUCUUAGAGGGGGAUAACUAUUGGAAACGAUAGCUAAUACCGCAUACUCGUAGAUGGACCUGCGUUGUAGUAGGUAUUAGGUAGGGUAAUGGCCUACCUAGGCAACGAUACAUAGCCGACCUGAGAUGGGGAUCGGCCACACUGAGACUGAGACACGGCCCAGACUCCUAAGGGAGGCAGCAAUUGGGAAUCUUCGGCACUGGGGGGAACCCUGAACGAGCAACGCCGCGUGAGUGAAGAAGUUUUUCGGAUCGUAAAGUUCUGUUGUUAAGGAAGCGGUACUUAACCAGAAAGGGACGGCUAACUACGUGCCAGCAGCCGCGGUAAUUC